rnacentral:lncRNA from 1 species
AUUAGUUCUGAAAGUCCAGAUGACCAGCAUCAGACUCUGGCAGAGACGUUUAUCAUGUAAAGAAAUUGAUGUCAUUCAUGACUAGGAACCCAACUUAAAGCGAAGAACAGUGCAUCCAAGGCCUGCUCCCAAGACAGAGAUGUACGGCUAGCCUUGUCUUCAACUGGAAAUCUGGGGUACCCUGUCUCCACAGCCAGCGUCUCUAACAACAAAGACUCCUUUCUUACCUGGGACACCUUCCAACUACUGGGCCUAGUUAGCUGUGUAGAGACAGGAGACAGCUGCUUCCACAGGUCUCUCAUCUGUUUUGUCGUACACAAAAUUGAAGGAUAGGAUACUGGAUGUUUGUGUGCUGAUCUCCAGGGCUCAGAGGAGAACCCGGCUCUUUCUCUACUUGUAGCAGCCCUGCCUGUGGGCAGGGAACACGCUCGGACUCCUGUGGAGCUGAACUUA